rnacentral:rRNA from 1 species
CUGAUGCAGCGACGCCGCGUGAGUGAAGAAGUAUUUCGGUAUGUAAAGCUCUAUCAGCAGGGAAGAAAAUGACGGUACCUGACUAAGAAGCCCCGGCUAACUACGUGCCAGCAGCCGCGGUAAUACGUAGGGGGCAAGCGUUAUCCGGAUUUACUGGGUGUAAAGGGAGCGUAGACGGUAAAGCAAGUCUGAAGUGAAAGCCCGGGGCUCAACCCCGGGACUGCUUUGGAAACUGUUUAACUAGAGUGCUGGAGAGGUAAGCGGAAUUCCUAGUGUAGCGGUGAAAUGCGUAGAUAUUAGGAGGAACACCAGUGGCGAAGGCGGCUUACUGGACAGUAACUGACGUUGAGGCUCGAAAGCGUGGGGAGCAAACAGGAUUAGAUACCCUGGUAGUCCACGCCGUAAACGAUGAAAAGGAGGUGUUGGGGGACAAAGUCCUUCGGUGCCGU